rnacentral:rRNA from 1 species
GAUGAACGCUAGCGGCAGGCAUAAUACAUGCAAGGCGAAGGGGCAGCAAUGUCACUGUCGUACGGGUGCGUAACGCGUAUGCAACCUACCUAUCACUGGGGGAUAGCCCGGGGAAACCCGGAUUAAUACCGCAUAAAACAGGGGCACCGCAUGGUGGUAUUUGUUAAAGAUUUAUUGGUGAUAGAUGGGCAUGCGUUCGAUUAGCUAGUUGGCGGGGUAACGGCCCACCAAGGCGACGAUCGAUAGGGGAGCUGAGAGGUUGGUCCCCCACACGGGCACUGAGAUACGGGCCCGACUCCUACGGGAGGCAGCAGUAGGGAAUAUUGGGCAAUGGAUGCAAGUCUGACCCAGCCAUGCCGCGUGCCGGAUGAAGGCCCUCAGGGUUGUAAGCGGCUUUUAUUCGGGAAGAAGAGCAGGGAUGCGUCCUUGUGUGACGGUACCGAAUGAAUAAGCACCGGCUAACUCCGUGCCAGCCGCCGCAGUAA